rnacentral:misc_RNA from 1 species
GAAAUGCGAUACUUGGUGUGAAUUGCAGAAUCCCGUGAACCAUCGAAUCUUUGAACGCACAUUGCGCCCGCCAGUAUUCUGGCGGGCAUGCCUGUUCGAGCGUCAUUUCAACCAUCAAGCCCCAGGCUUGCGUUGGGGGCCUGCGGCUGCCGCAGCCCCCUAAAAGCAGUGGCGGGCUCGCUGUCAUUCCGAGCGCAGUAGUUACAUCUCGCUCCGGGCGUGGCGGCGGGCACCUGCCGUGAAACACUCCUUCUAAGGUUGACCUCGGAUCAGGUAGGAAUACCCGCUGAACUUAA